rnacentral:lncRNA from 1 species
GUAAAUAACAAAAGGCAGCAGCAGAACAUUUCUCUCUCUAUGCUUCCAGGGAAGCAAGUCUUAUCAAACAAGUCUGAUCUUCUUUUUUUUGAUGGAAAGGGUAUUUCUAUUGAUAAUAAAACAUUUCUGUGCUAAAUGGACUAAACUCAGCAAACAGAUAAUGCUGAGUAGUUGAGAACUAAAAGCCAGCAUCUGUUGUUGAGGUUCCACAGACACUGCCCUCAUCCUUCUCCUGUUCUGUAGCUGAGUGUGGCUUUGAGGCCAGGACAGGGACACUGCACCCCAGCCAGCAGAGCACAGCAGGCACAGGGACAGCAC